rnacentral:lncRNA from 1 species
AUGUGCAUAUCGUAAUCCUUAUGGAGAAGUACACUGCGUUCAUAUUUCAGAUUCAAAUGCUUAACUGCGUUCGUAUUCCAGAUUCACAAACAGUUUCUGGUCAACGGACUGAUCGGUAACGUUACUCUACUUGUCCUCCGAUUUAAGCGGCGCGCUCCGAUUUCGGUUGCUUCAUAGGACUCACUUGAAUCAUCUCGGAAGUGGAUUUCGGUUGGUUCAGAUCUCUUUGGGUAUAUUCGAAACCAACUAAAAUACGUUGAAUUACUGAAUCAACAGAAAUAACUGAAAUCGAGAAUCAACUUCUUCAUCAUAUUUUUCAUGCAUUUCCAUUAGCCACAGUUGUACGAAGAAACUGUUCGAUUUCACGGUUUGUUAGAGAACCUUAUUCAGAUAUACAACGGGUUCGUGUGAAUCUAAGUAAUAAUAUGUAAUAGUUAGCGAUUUAGUGUGUAGGGUUUAGGGUUUAGGGUUUCGGCUAUGUAUUGUAUUACAUUUUGUAUGAAAGUGUUGUGUUUUGUGUUAUU